UCCAAUGGUAGAGCGGUGGUUUGCAGAGCCACUGUUUGUGUGUUCGAAUCGCACCA
rnacentral:tRNA from 13 species